rnacentral:rRNA from 1 species
UACGGAGGGUGCAAGCGUUAUCCGGAUUCACUGGGUUUAAAGGGUGCGUAGGCGGGCAGGUAAGUCCGUGGUGAAAUCUCUGAGCUUAACUCAGAAACUGCCAUGGAUACUAUUUGUCUUGAAUAUUGUGGAGGUAAGCAGAAUAUGUCAUGUAGCGGUGAAAUGCUUAGAUAUGACAUAGAACACCAAUUGCGAAGGCAGCUUACUACACAGUCAUUGACGCUGAGGCACGAAAGCGUGGGGAUCAAACAGG